rnacentral:rRNA from 1 species
CACGUAGGGCGCAAGCGUUGUCCGGAAUUAUUGGGCGUAAAGAGCUCGUAGGCGGUCUGUUGCGUCCGCUGUGAAAACUCGGGGCUUAACCCCGAGCCUGCAGUGGAUACGGGCAGACUAGAGGUAGGUAGGGGAGAAUGGAAUUCCUGGUGUAGCGGUGAAAUGCGCAGAUAUCAGGAGGAACACCGGUGGCGAAGGCGGAUCUCUGGGCCAUUACUGACGCUGAGGAGCGAAAGCCAGGGGAGCGAACGGG